rnacentral:rRNA from 1 species
AUACGGAGGGUGCAAGCGUUAAUCGGAAUCACUGGGCGUAAAGCGCGCGUAGGCCGCCUUCUAAGUCGGACGUGAAAGCCCUCGGCUCAACCGAGGAACUGCGUUCGAAACUGGGAGGCUUGAGUCCUGGAGAGGGUGGCGGAAUUCCGGGUGUAGGAGUGAAAUCCGUAGAUAUCCGGAGGAACACCGGUGGCCGAAGGCGGCACCUGGACAGGUACUGACGCUGGA